CCUGCGCAUCGGUCGAAUGUUCCACUAUCGCUCACUUCUUACCUCUGCUAAAAUUGUAGGUUCAGACCGAUAUUUCUAUUUUUAGACAGGAAAAUCCGUGUCUACACUUCAGCCAAUCAGUGACUAGCUUACUUGUAACGAAUUGUCACAUGCCUGAAUUUGACGCACCGUAAUGUAAACAAUGCGUGUUUAUUUGUACUUUACUUAAAAUUGUUUUUAUUAAACGUUUCUAAUAAAUGACCCAAUAAAGCUACCAAAAUGGUUAAUUUGCGAUAAUAUAUUAUUUACGGAUCGUCAAUUGUAAUGGAGUCUACGUAAACGGUAGCUCAAUACGAAUACUGGCUGCAAGAAAGUUCACUUCAGGCCGUUAAAAUGAUUUUUCUUAUAUUUUCUCACAGACACUUGGAGUGUAGAGCUCAAAGUUAAAAUCCUUUAAAAUCCAAAUAAAAUGUAUAUUUGUAAAUCCCAGCACAUGUACUGAUCAUAAAUAUCAAUUAAAACUUAAUAAAGGCCGUUUUUGAAAAAAAAAAAACAAAAAAAAACAUAUUUCAACGUCUAUAAUAAUCAUACAUACAAAUUCAGUAUCAUCUAACUUUAAUGAUGGUCAUUUAAGAAAAUCCAAGAUAAUAUUUGACGUACUUUCUUAGCCUGUGUUUUUCAUGGAUGGGCAGGUUUUGUAGGUGAUAUACAUGUAUGUGCAAAAUGACAUACAUACUACAUACAUAUAUCUGCAGACUCAACCAACACUAUUUUACACAUCAAUAGUAAAUCUGCAUUGGUUACUCAUUUGAAAUUCAGGUAUUUUAUUUAAUAAUAUUGUAGUCAAUCAGGAGCCACAAGCUUGUCCAUUAAUAUCAAUAAGGGCUGUCAAUAGAACAGUUGUUCUAUUCAACUAUACUCAGCACUUGAUGGAAAAUGUUUGAAUUAACUAAGGAAUAUUUUAUUUAUUUACAUAUGAUCAAGUCUUGCAUUUUUUAAUGUUCGCAUGAGGCCAUAUUUCAUUUAAAAUUCACAAGUUAUGAGCCUUUGACAGAGACAUCCAAAGUAUACUAUUUUUAAGUUUCAAGAUUAAUUUUGCAGGCAAAACAUUCACCUGUACUAAAUCAGAAGUUCAGAGGGUCAUACUUCUGUCAAAAUCCAUGCUAGAGUGUGUGCAAAGUCUUUUACACAUAAAAGAUUUCAAACCAAGGUGAAGUGCAAGCCAUUAGUUGCACGAAAAACAUUAAGAUGUGACACUAAUGAAGAAUUCCAGGUGUAAAGGAUAGUCCCAUUUUUCUUCAAAUAGUUAAGUUAAAACAAUAACUGCACUGUAGAUCAUCAAUGAAUUUAUUUCACACCUGUAAGUCUUCAUUUUCAAAACAAUAUGCAAUAUGAAAUAACAAAUGCAAUAUUUUAUUGAUUUAACAUACACCUAAAUAUAAUGUAUAAAGGGUUGAUCACAAAAAGUCAUAACAAAAAUAAGAGUACAUAAGUUGGCUGUAAGGUCACUCACAAUCACAGGGAUAAAUUGACAAAUAUCUUUUCCUAUGAAAUUAACAUCCUAAGUCAAUAGUAACAAUAGAAAAACAAGAUCAAACUUGACCAGAACACUAAAUAUAUAUAUAGGUUGGGAUAAUCUAGUUAUUGAGUAGGCAAUAUAUAUUUAAGAUAAGUUGGAUAUUUCAGGUUUUAAAGUACAAUUUAUGCCUUCAGUACUGGUUUAAUACUUAACUUUCUGAGUCAGACACCCAGUCAUAUUGUUACUAAGUUCAGUGAAAUUAUGAUACCCAUUCACAUUGUUACAUUGUAAAAUGUCUACUAAAUAUGUAUUAAAUCAAAGCAAGAGCCUACAUAUUAUUAUUUUAUUUAGGUAAAUCAAUGGUAAUAAUUUAAUAAACUUCAUUCAAAAUUGUUUUUAAUUAAACUACAAUGGUCAGCAUUAUUUAGAAUAUAAUCAGAAGUAACUUAAGACACUAAAGGUAUAUCAAUUCUGUCUAAUUGUACACAAGUAAACAAAAACCUCCUUUUCUGUUAAACUGUUUUAGGAAUUCUAAGCUUUAUCAUCAAGUAUGGAAGUUAACUUAUCAAUAAUUUCUCAAAUAAUGACAUAGAAAAUCAUUCAAAAGAAAAAAAAUACGACGCGCGUCUGUAAUAUAGGUCCCCGGGGCGGGACCAAUUUUAACCCAGGGAUGUUAUUUGUACAAACUUGGUAGACACCCAUUUGAAGAUGUUUCAUGAUGAAUAUCUAAGCUCUAAAUCCAAGAAAGUUUUUAAGUUUUUACUAUAUUUACUAUACACAUAUAGGGAACGAGAAAGACCACCAAUCCCCUCCCGCCCCCCCCCCCGGCAGGGUUAUUAAGAAGAUUUUUUGCCAGCAGUAUAAAGCCAGGCUAUGGAGACUGAACAGGAUCCACACUGUUGUCUUACUAACUUUAACUUUUCAUCCUGAUGAAUAAUGUACCCAAAAUGAUAAUAAACACUUUUAAAUAUGAAAGCCAGACAUGUCCAUUUAUAAACUCUACAGGCUAAGGGUUGAAAUAAUUUUGCAUCAAUGCUCUCAUUGUGCAAGAUUCAAAAUCAAAUAGGUAACAUCUAAAAGCAUUUAAAGAAAGGCUGCAAGUCUUAUUAUGUUGUAAUGAAUGACAAAUAUCCCAUAAAUAAUUUCAUGUUAAAGCAAAACUGUUAGUUCAGACAUUACAAGUUGAAUUAAAAAAUCUAACUUAGGAUCAGGAACCAUAUUCCUAAACAAAUAUAAUCAUGCAGGAUUUAUGCAGCUUGUUCUAUGAUAUGAUGCUAAUGUGAAACAAAUGUCCCCAGUUCAAAUGCUAUCAUUUACAAUGUAAUAAUAACAUAGGUUCCAGCAGAUCUACAUUUAUUUAAGACUAUGAAAGAAAUAGACAUAACUCAUUGUUAAUUAAUUAAAAGUGCUAUCUCAUUUAUAAAUAUGCAACAGUCAUAACAUAGAUACUGUAAACACCCUAAAAAUUCAAAUUUAUA